UACGUAGGGUGCAAGCGUUAAUCGGAAUUACUGGGCGUAAAGCGUGCGCAGGCGGUUUUGUAAGACAGAUGUGAAAUCCCCGGGCUUAACCUGGGAACUGCAUUGGUGACUGGCAAGCUAGAGUGUGGCAGAGGGGGGUAGAAUUCCACGUGUAGCAGUGAAAUGCGUAGAGAUGUGGAGGAAUACCGAUGGCGAAGGCAGCCCCCUGGGCCAACACUGACGCUCAUGCACGAAAGCGUGGGGAGCAAACAGG
rnacentral:rRNA from 1 species